GCGCCGCAGGGGACGUCUUGGUCUGAUGGCGAGGUGCCGCUACCACUGCUUCAGUCGCUUCAGUGCCUCAGUUUCAGUCUCCUUAGUCCUCUCGGACUAGGUCUCUUCAGGCUCCGCUGCUACCUCGAUGGCCUCGGACUCUGCCUCUGCCCACCCCAUUGCCCCGUCUCUACCCCCUGAGCCCCGCUCCGGCCUCCCGCCGGCCCGCCGAGGAAACGCUCUCUGCCGCGGGACAGCUUUGUCUGCUUAGUUAUCAGAUUGUCCUUUGGUGAGAAUACUAAGGAAGAAGGGGCAGCUGAGCUCUUGAGAAUGCAACCACAGGAAUCAGUGACCUCCAAGGGUGCGGUUGUGGACUUCCCCCAGGAAGAGUAGGCCUUGUGGACACAUCCCAGAGGAAGCAGUACAGAGAGGUGAUGCCAGAGAACAUCAGUCAUCUCAUCUCUGGGGUGGCAGCUCUGCAAAUCAGAUGUGAUUUCCCAUUGGAGCACAGAGAGGAGUUGUGGAGGGAAGAAAGAGGAUUCUUCCAAGGCCUGAGGCUGGGAGAAGUGACCUUUAAAACCAAGAAAUAAUACCUAUACCAGAUAUCUGCAAGAAGGACCCAUCUGACUGCACGGCAACAGUGCUGAUUAAGAGCCUGGAGCCACAGGAAUCACCCAGUGCUAUGGGAGUUUGCUGGUGCUGAAGUGAGUUGGGAGCAUUGGUUCACAGGAGACUGCCAAGAGCCUGGUGCCAAAAGAGACAGCUUGUGCCAGGGUAGGCCAGAAGUCUGGGUUCCUGGGAGUCUGCUGGGAGCCUGGAACCACAGAAGCUGCCUUGGGCUGCAGGAGCCAGCAGGUGCUGGGUCAAGAUGGAAGCCUGGAUUCAUGGGACCCUGCUGGUGCCUGGUGCCAUGGGAGCUGCCUGGGGCUGCUGGAUGAAACAUAGCAGGUGCUGUGGCAAAACAUGGGCUUGAGUUCUCAGUAGCCCACGGGAAGCCUGGUGCCAUGAAAUCUGCUGAGGGUUGCUGGAGCUGGUAAGUGCUUAGGUAAGCUGGGGUCCUGGGGUCCUGGGUUUGUGGAAACCCACUGGGAGCUCUGCCAUGGAAGCUCCCUGUGGCUUUGGGUGCUGCCUGGGGCCACUGGAGUAGACAGGCACUAGGGUGAGCCAGGGUCUGGAUUCACCAGAGCCAACGAGGACACGACUUGGGGUCAGAGGAGCCACCAUGGGCUGCUGAAGAUGGCAGGCACCAGGCUGAGAUGGGGGUCUGGGUUCCCAGGAGACUGCUGGGAGCCUGGUGCCAAGGAUGGUGCUUUGGGCCACUAUAGCUGGCAUGCUCCAUGGUGAGUCUGGGCUUGCAAGAGGAUACAAGGAGCCACCUAGGUCCACAGGAGUCAGCCUGGUGCUGGGGCAGGCUUGCUCUGGGUCUGUGAUGAAGUCAGGCACUCACUUUACUCUCCUUCUUUUGGGGAGAUUUUUGAUUACUGAUUCAAUCUCCUUAUUUGUUAUUAGUCUGUUCAAGUUUUCUAUUUCUUCAUGAUUUAGUCUUGAUAGGUUGUAGGAAUUUACCCAUUUUUGUCUUAGAUUAUCCAAUUUGUUAGAGUACAAGAGUUCAGAAUAGUCUCUUAUAAUCUCUUUAUUUCUGAAGCAUCAGUUGUAAUGCCUACUCUUUCAUUUCUGACUGACUUUGAGCCUUCUCUCUUUUUUUCUUAGAUAUUCUGUCUAAGCAUUUGUCAAUUUUAUUUUUUCAAAAAAUCAACUCAGUUUUAUUGAUCUUUCAUAUUGUCUCUCUAUUCUCUAUUUCAUUUUUUUCUGCUCUGGUCUUUGUGACUUCCAUCCUUCUGCUAACUUUGGGUUUCGUUUUUUCUUUUUCUAGUGCUGUGUGUUGUAAGUUAGGUUGUUUAUUUGAGAUCUUUCUUCUUUUACAGUGUACAAGUUUAUUGAAAGACCAAACUCAAAUGUCACCUCCACCAGGUUUUAUUUGGAAUCCUCCAGCACUCAACAUAGAGGCUGCCCAAAGACAUGUGCAAAAAAAAUGUCUGCUAAAUAAGUGAGUUUUUUAAAGUUUUAUUCCAAGGAUCUUAGAUUAGAUUAUCAAACCAAAGUUCUUUUUCUAGAUUACACUCGAUCUAGGCAAUUAAAAAAAAAAAAACAGACUGCUAUCCUUCUUGAAAAGAAAAUCUUUGCUAAUAGCCUUUGAAAAUCAUGCACGGAAAAUUUUUUUACACCAUUUUUCUUUAAAGUAUUUUUCACACAAAACAACCAGAUUUAUUUUGUAAACACAUCUCUUGAAACACUCAUUCUAAAUAAUUAAACUUCUGUUAUGACAAUGAACUACUUAAAUGAUAAAGUCCCAACUAGGGGAUGAAUAACAUGCUGAAUUCAUUAAGUGUUUUACUAGCGGAGAAUAUAGUAGUCAAUAGUAUAGAUCAGAGCUUUUUUCACUAAAUUUAAAUCGUUUCAUUUUACUUGGGGUGGAGAGAUGGACAAUAAACAAAUAAGUAAUGUAUCAAAGUGAUGAUGGCUCUAUGAAGAUUUAAAAUUUUAAAUAGGAUGAUUGAGUAGCGACUUUAGAAUGGAGGGUCUGGGAAGGCCUCUCUGAGUAGGCAAUAUUCAAGCUGAGAUUUAAGAUGAAAAAAGGGGGCUGGCCCCGUGGCUUAGCAGUUAAGUGCGUGCGCUCCGCUACUGGCAGCCUGGGUCCGGAUCCCGGGCGCACACCGACGCACCGCUUCUCCGGCCAUGCUGAGGCCGCGUCCCACAUACAGCAACUAGAAGGAUGUGCAACUAUGACAUGCAGCUAUCUACUGGGGCUUUGGGGAAAAAAAAAAAGGAGGAGGAUUGGCAAUAGAUGUCAGCUCAGGGCCGGUCUUCCUCAGCAAAAAGAGGAGGAUUAGCACAGAUGUUAGCUCAGGGCUGAUCUUCCUCACACACACAAAAAAUAAAAAUAAAAAGAUGCAAAAAAGGUUGACAAUGCAAAAUUCAGGAGAAAGAGCAUUCCAAGCAGCGGGCCCUGAAGCACAGCAGGGAGACAGCAAGUUGUAGAUGAGGUAGCUGAAGAGGCACCAGUAGAUCAUGUAGUGAUGAAGAAAGCAUAAGGAGUGACAAGAGAUUUUCACAUAUUGAGGUAUAUGGGGUAACUAUUCCAGUUCCAAACUGAUUUGGCUUGAGCUAAAAAGCCCGACUUAUGCCCUAUCAAACAUACAUUGUACAUCUGCUUAACCACUAAAGUAAAGAAUACACUCUCUUAAGAUAAGAAUGCAUCCUUCCCCUCCUACGUCCUAUUGGAAUGCCCUGUUGGUAAUGCCCAAAUCAGUCCCUUUGCUGACAUCACAUCACAUUGACCUGCUAAUUUGCAAUUGAAUACCUCUUUGAAAUUUUGAUAAAAAUGUAUCCUGGGUAUGUUCUUUGUUCUAAAAAGAUAUGAAUGAAUUGAAAACCAUGCUUCUCUGGAAUGCCUUCUGAGGCCUCUCUGGGUUAUAAUCCUCACUCUGGCUCAAGUAAACUCACCUUAUUUCUCUUAUCUAUAGAAUGGUUAUUAGUUAUUUUGCAUCAACAUUUGGUGUAGUCAUUGCAGGAUUUCAGAGAAACCCACUGGAGACCACCUGGAAUCUACACUGAACUGGCAUUCAGUCCCAUUGAUCUCCCCCCCACCCCCCGCCAGAUCACUGCAUUCUUCAGGUGACCCUGAGAAGUUCAUGGAAAGGACUCUGGUGCUUACUCUAGAAUACAGGCUUCUGAUAAACUUUCAGAUCAUAAAACUGAACUGGGUAAGAAAUGACAGAAUUCUAACUGAAAAACUGAUGACUUUGUGAAACUGCCGACAAGACCAAGGUCAAGAAUUGAUUACACUGGACUGAAUGAACUAAUGAGAAUGAUUAUAAUUUUUAUGACUUUUGUUUGAAAUAUUGCUGAUUUUUUAACAUGUUGCUUUUUCAGAUUUAAGGAAAACUUUUUCUAUUUUCUCCUGAGCUAGCUAUGAUUUAUGGCAACUUGAUAAAUUAUACCUUUGUAAGCAGAAUUGAAACAUUUAUCUUUUUCUCCCUACCUGAUCCCUCCUGAAUUUGGAAACUCUUGGUGAGUGAGUAUUGUUAUUUUCAUGGCAAUAUAGCUAUUUGCAUAAGUUCAAUAAGAAUCUGUUCUCCUCUUAACAGGACAUAAUUGGAAACAUUGGUUAUAUUACCAAAGCUUUGACUGGAAUGUUAAAUUUGAAAAAAAAAAUACAGACACAGAUAUGACAAGGCAGCUUUUGAGAGACAAAGAUUGGACUUUGUGGAACAAAGCCAUGUGGAAAUAUCAGCCUGGUACCUUAUGUUCAGCGUUCCAAGCAGCACUUACUGGAUAAGUAAGGAAUAUCACUUAUCUGGCACGUGCAAAGAACCUCGAAAUUUCGGGGAACCUCAAAAAGAGAGGAAUUCACACAAAUCUGUAGGUAUUGCAGGUGAAGUCUGAUGACAAAAUACUUGGUUUGGCUUUCCUGGUCUCGAGAGGCCUUUAAAGUUCAAUCUGAGAUUCCUUAUAAAGAGUUCCAGCAAAGCAGACUUAAAAGAGCCUAUGUGAUCAGUUGCUAUUCUUGCUGCACUUAUGUAAGUAAUUGAGUCAAGUUUUAUUGAAACUAGACGUAUUGUGCAAACCAGUUAGUCUUAAUUUGGCUACCUUUGAUAAAAAUUAGGGUGAUUUUAGAGAGGAAAACUACGUUUCAAUAGAAACUAUAAUACACAUUUGUGGAUGUUGCUGUUAAUUGUCUUUGAGGUUUUUGUUUUAUAUCUGUUAACUGGACUGGAUCCUGAAUUCUUCUAGUCUCCUGACAUAUAUGACUACAAAUCUACAAACUAAUGUUUUCAAUUUUUUCCAUCAUUCUCAUUUGGAAUCACUGAGAACUGAACCCGCCCUUUUUCUUGAAGCCUUUCAAACUGAAGCUGGUGGACUUGAUAUAAACUUAAGAGAGAUUCAUGUCUGUUGCUGUGUAAGCCACUCAGAAAAGUACCUGAAUACUUGAUGACAUCAUCAGAAACAUUUAAAACUGCAAAAGAUGCUUUGACUCUGACAUCUAGAAAUUUUUUUGAUUGGCUAACCCUCAGACUCAGAAACUGGUUUAUAAUUUUCUCCUACCAUUAACUUUGUUUUUUUUUUGUCUCAUUACCUGGUUACUUGCUUCCACAAUAUAGGCCCAACUUUGGGAGCCCACCUGCAUCACCAUCUUACUAAGAGACUGGUUCAACAAGAUGGAACAACAGGAAAUCCCUCCAGAUUGAGCGAUUAAAGAGUAAAAGGGGGGAAUUGAUACUGGCUCAACACAAGGUUGACAUAAGGGAAGCCAUAUUAUAGAAAGGAAACCCCAUUGUUACUUUGAAUGACCUUUGAUUAACUAGCCCAGACAUGCUCUGUGGAUUUUUUGGCCCCUCUCAGCUGCUAUAAGUUGAUAAUUUUGUUCUCUUGAGUUCCUUAGGAAUGUGAUGACCCCUGGGCAGAGAGUCUGUGCCGAUAGCCAUCAUCAAUGACAACUGAAAGAUCAGGGUAGAGGGCAUUGCUCCAGUCUCUGAUGCAUAUCAAGUAAAACAAAAGACUGCCAGGAACUAAGACUAGAUGGAUGCCCCCACCCUGAAACCAGAUGCCUCCCCACUCGGAUACCAGCCCUCUAUAUAAUUAGCCUGUAGUCUUUGUCCUGUAAGAUGGUUCUUUGAGACACUAGUCGGCCAUCUUCCCCCUGGCUAGCAAGCUGUAAUAAACUGCCCUUUCUUUUCCACCAAAAAAGAAAAAAUGAUGACAGGUUGGUAGCUUAUUCUUUUCACAGAGAGCUCCCAGACCUUAAGGAUCAUGGAGCUGGAGAAUUUGUGUAUCAGAAGAGGCAUCAAAUAAAAGACUCUUUGUGGCCCUGUUGGGAAGACCAUACCAGGUACUUUUAACCAGUUCAUGCACUGCAGAAUCAAAAGGCAGAGACUCAUGAAUUCACAUUUCUCAUUUUAAAAAGAGGCUUUUCCACCUAAGUGAGUUUCAGUUCCUAUUUGUGAUGCCUCACUUCAACUGACCAAUGCAAAUAUCUCCAAACCAGGAUGAGAGGAAGAAAGCAUCUGUUGUAGACAGCUGUCCUGAGACUCUGGACCAGGCCUGUAUUCCCAACCUUAAAUUUCCUCAUUUAAACCUUUGUUAUGCUUAAACUACAUACCUAUUUUAUAGUUGUUCCAUUUAAGGUUUUCAGAAUACUAUCAUACUUAAGGAAAGUGAUUGAUUUGGAACAGACUGGUCUCGAAGGCCAGGCAUUUUUCAGGUGGCUCCUAAUGGAACUCAAUGGUUAUGUGGAACAAAUCUUUGGCCUUGGCUACUGCCUGGAUGGCUAAAACACUGCACCCUGAGCUUCCCUUGGAGGCAGGGAAGGAUUCACUGAGCUAACAUGUGUUGCCAAUCUCUCUUUAAGGCCAGAUAGGCUCAUUCAGUGUUCCACUGGUAUGACCACCAAGCAGCUAGGUAUAUUGGUUCCUUCUUUGGGGCUAGAGAAUGUCAUAUCCCAUACAGAAGCCCUUAACAAUUGUCAAACAGGAAUAGCCUUUUUAAAUACUAAAAAUGCCUUUAAUGGGGAAGGCUGUCCUUCAGAAUAGAAUGGCCUUAGAUAUUCUUAUAGCAUCCCAAGGUGGUACAUAUAUAUCAUUCAAACUGAAUGAUGUGUUUUUAUACAUCAUGUUAUUCAAGACAUGUGUGAGUCUUCCAAUGCAUCAUCUCUGAAUGCCUUAAGUGAUCCUAUACCUGAUCUUGAUUUGUUUAGUUGGCUCCCUUCUGGUAUUGGCUACCAUUUGCAACCCAAUUGCAAUUCCUAUUUCUAUUACUCCUUGGAAUUCUUGUAUUAGUCGUAAUAUUCAAACUAAUUACUGUUUUCUUUAUUCAGUGUUGUAAGAUUGUCAUGCUAGCUACAGUAACGAUUGCUCAGCGAUGUGAGAUGGUCGACCAUCUUACAAGCCUGGAUGAAUCUCCUUUUCUUAUUAAGGCUAUGCCUAAGAAUUCAUUUUUAAGCUAAUCAAGUAUUGGAUUACUUGUUCUAGAAUUGUUAUAAACAAUGUAACUAUAGGAAGUCACGUAAUAGCAUCUGUGCAAUGUUUAUGCAAUAAUCUAAAAAUAAUUGACAAAUUACAUAACCUGUGAAACACUUCACCUGUUAAUAUAUACCUCUAUGUUUGUCCACUAUAUCUAUUUCCUCCCAAUGUGGAUAACUGGGCAAGUUGAUGAAAUAAAAGCCUAGCACCGAGGGACAUGAUGGACCCAGGGCAGGCAGCAACCACCCUGGCACUGAGGGACAAUAUUUUGAUCAGAAGUGCUUUCUAUUGAAAGAUUAUUGAUCAAAAGGGAAAAAUGACAAGAAAUUUUCACACAUUUAAGUAUA